AGAAGCAACCGGUGAAGCGACCAAUCGGCGCUCCUUAUCGCUGACGCGGCGUGCAAGCGACACGAUGUAGGUGUGUGUGUGCGCCGAUAUACAUACACACGGGCAAAGGUAUCGGCGUGUCGUAUCGGUUGUGCUCAGUUAUCCGCACGCGGCGGGAUUGCGGCUUUUGCCGCGCGAUUCGAUCGAGGGAACACCGCGAACUUCAGCUCCUCGCGAGCGUAGAGAGAUCGCGGUUUCUUCGGAAAUAUAUGUAGCCUGUCCUACCUAGCUCCACCGGUCUAUUUGACUGCUCGAGAUAAUAUGGUAUUUAGUCUUCUAAACAAUCAGUAUAAAAGAAAGGUUAUCUCAACGUAGCAUGGCCAACUCAAAAGAAAUGAUCAAAUGGCAAUAAAAUGCAGUGUCAAUUCGAAAUCCUGUAGGUGGCUCCUUCAGAUGUUUUUCAAUAUUCUGCACCUAGCUGGAAUAGAUGCCUGGGUUUUAUAUAAAGAAAUAACUGGAAGAAAAAUGUUAAGGCAGAAAUUUUUAUUCCAGUCAGUUAGAGAAUUUGGCGCUGCGUGUCAAGAAUUGUGAGGAAAAAUAAAUAUGCCAAAAACAUAAACAAAUACAAGUUCGAAUUCACAUGUACGAAAAACUUGUUAAGUAAAAUAUUAUAAAGGUUAUAAAACUACGAAAAUCUGUUUGGGAUGCAGAAAAUAUGUGUGCAGCGAACAUUCGAGAAUAAAAUAAUUUGUAAAAAAAUGCAGUGAAGCCGAAUAAGCUUUAUAUUAUUUAUAUAUUUAGGAAAAUGUGUAUGUACGUGUAUAUAGGGUGUAUAUGAACGAAAGAAACUAUAUAACUACCAUUCAUUUUUUAACCUCUUUUUCAGUUUAUAAUUGAAAUUAUAUACAAAUAAAUUUGUAUCGUCGAUUUAUGGAAGUUGUUCAUAUACUAAUUCAUUCAGCAACAAAUUAACUAUCUACGUUUAAUUGUGAAAACAAUAAUCUUCUUUUAAGGACCGGUCAUUUUGACCGAGCGCGGUAAGAAUAGAUAUGCAUACAAAAAAUGUCAGUAGGUUUAGUGUUAACUUUUGUUAUAAAAUCUUUUAUAAAUCGAAGUAAAACUUUUU